AGUCGGACCUGCCCGGUGAAACGGCCGCGGUACUCUGACCGUGCAAAGGUAGCAUAAUCAUUUGCCUUAUAAUUGAAGGCUAGUAUGAAUGGUUUGACAAGAAUAUAGCUGUCUCUUUAUUGAUUUAAUAGAAUUUUAUUUUUAGGUGAAAAAGCCUAAAUUUAAUUAAAAGACAAGAAGACCCUAUCGAGCUUUAGAUAAAUUAAUGGGUGGUUGGGGCGACUGAGGAACAAAUAAAGCUUCCUUUUUUCGGGUGUUUGAUCCAAAUUUGUUGAUUAAUGGAAUUAGUUACCGUAGGGAUAACAGCAUUAUCUUUCUUGAGAGUUCAUAUCGAAAGAAGGGUUUGUGACCUCGAUGUUGGACCAGAAUGUCCUAAAGAUGCAGAAGUCUUUAAGGGUUGGUCUGUUCGACCAUUAAAAUUCUA
rnacentral:rRNA from 1 species